rnacentral:rRNA from 1 species
AUUGAACGCUGGCGGCAUGCCUUACACAUGCAAGUCGAACGGUAACAGGUCUUCGGAUGCUGACGAGUGGCGAACGGGUGAGUAAUACAUCGGAACGUGCCUAGUAGUGGGGGAUAACUACUCGAAAGAGUGGCUAAUACCGCAUGAGAUCUACGGAUGAAAGCAGGGGAUCGCAAGACCUUGUGCUACUAGAGCGGCCGAUGGCAGAUUAGGUAGUUGGUGGGAUAAAAGCUUACCAAGCCGACGAUCUGUAGCUGGUCUGAGAGGACGGUCAGCCACACUGGGACUGAGACACGGCCCAGACUCCUACGGGAGGCAGCAGUGGGGAAUGUUGGACAAUGGGCGAAAGCCUGAUCCAGCAAUGCCGCGUGCAGGAUGAAGGCCUUCGGGUUGUAAACUGCUUUUGUACGGAACGAAAAGCCCUGGGUUAAUACCCUGGGGUCAUGACGGUACCGUAAGAAUAAGCACCGGCUAACUACGUGCCAGCAGCCGCGGUAA